CUGUACCAAGUUAAGAGCCUGUAAAUCAGUGGUUGUCGUUUGUUUAUGUGUUACAUAUUUGUUUUUCGUUCAUUUUUUUUUUAUAUAAAUAAGGCCGUUAGUUUUUUCGUUACAAUUGUCAUUUCGGGGCCUUUUAUAGCUGACUAUGCAGUAUGGGCUUUGCUCAUUGUUGAAGGCCGUACGUUGACCUAUAGUUGUUAAUCUCUGUGUCAUUUUGGUCUCUUGUGAAGAGUUGUCUCAUUG
rnacentral:lncRNA from 1 species